rnacentral:misc_RNA from 1 species
GAAAUGCGAUAAGUAAUGUGAAUUGCAGAAUUCAGUGAAUCAUCGAAUCUUUGAACGCACAUUGCGCCCGCCAGUAUUCUGGCGGGCAUGCCUGUCCGAGCGUCAUUUCAACCAUCAAGCCCCCGGGCUUGUGUUGGGGACCUGCGGCUGCCCGCAGGCCCUGAAAACCAGUGGCGGGCUCGCUGUCACACCGAGCGUAGUAGCAAUCACCUCGCUCAGGGCGUGCUGCGGGUUCCGGCCGUUAAACAGCCUUACAAAACCCAAGGUUGACCUCGGAUCAGGUAGGAACACCCGCUGAACGUGAGC